UUAUAAGUUGUCUCCAAAUGAACAAGGCUUUUUUUUUACAUGUGUUAGCUAAAAACUGCCAUUAUAUCUUACCAUUUUGUACAAUUUUUUUAUGUUUUUAGAAGAACACUUUAUACUCAAUUAUUUCAUAUUAAACCUUUUCUUUAUAUUAAUAUAUAAUAAGUUAAUGAUGUUUACAUAAUGCAAUAUAUUGAGACGGGCA
rnacentral:lncRNA from 1 species